rnacentral:rRNA from 1 species
GACGAACCGUGCAAACGUUGUUCGGAAUCACUGGGCUUAAAGGGCGCGUAGGCGGACUCGCCAGUCUGUGGUGAAAGCCCCCGGCUCAACCGGGGAAGUGCCGUGGAUACUGCGAGUCUGGAGGAGGGUAGGGGCAUCUGGAACGCUGGGUGGAGCGGUGAAAUGCGUUGAUAUCCAGCGGAACUCCGGUGGCGAAGGCGAGGUGCUGGACCCUUUCUGACGCUGAUGCGCGAAAGCCAGGGGAGCAAACGGG